UUAUCAGUCAUGCAGUGACACUCAAUGGCCCAUGAACAAAGAGAUCUCCUGGAGGGAGGAUGGGUCAUGGAAGAGCUAAAGAAAACUGCCCCACCUGGUUUUAACAGCUGUCCCAUUAACAGAAGAUAACUGCCCCACCUCUAACAGAUAGCAAUAGAACAUACACACCUCAGCCACAUCGUGCAUUUGCAACCCAAGACAAUGUAUCCCUUGUUAAUGAUUAGGUUUAAUGGGAAAUUGUUGUGGACAUUCCCUAUAUGGCCUUGCAAAGGAAAAUGCUGGUGGGAUCAGGCAAACAGGAAUGAGCAAGACUGAAACCUGAGCUUGGCUGAAUCAGUGGCAAAGAAGAUUGAAAAAACAAACCAGCAAAGCAAGGAACAUAGAAAUGAAAGAGCUCUCCCUUAAAUCACUACUGGAUCUGGUCACUGAGGACUUGUUCUGACACUGACAAACACCUGUUUCAUUUCCAAGUGCACAGUCUAAGUUGAGAGUCUUAAUGAGUGUGUUUUAUCUUGAAGAUCAGUGGCCAGUCCACUUUGCAGGGUGCUCUAUUUCUUCCAGCUUUUCAUUUGCUUCUCUCACACUGUGAGUGCACCUUGUCACUGACCAAAUACAUCUUUUUGAGCAAAGUG